AUGGAUGUUGCCCUCGACGAAGACCCCCCAUCAGACCAUUCCGAUGUAAGGAGGCACUGUGACAACCGUAUAAACACAAGUGUUGACGACGCCACGUGGCUAGAACCUUGCAACCACAACCAAAACCCCAUCAUUGGUAUCUACAAUGAAGCACUUACACGCAAUACUAAGAGCAACUCCAAUGCGAGUCGCCCCGCGCGUCAGCGACUCACCCCGAUCCCCGGCUUCCACGUCUACCCGCAAGCCUCCCGCCUCUCCGGGGAAUGCUCGUUGGAGGUGAGCGUGGUGGCACCUUCCACGCCCUCGCCCGUGCCCAUCGACCUCAACGCCACCCCGGUAGCCGGUGGCUCGUCAUCCGGUGGGCGCGAGGAAACGCGCGCGGGAGAUGCCAGCCGACAUGAUCCCUGGCGCCCACAACCUGUUCGACAGUAUGCCGGCAGCCGGCGAUGACGAUUUCAUGCAGAACAUCAUCUUCGAGGGCGGUAUGGAGGCCGUUGGCGGUGUCGCCGUGGCUGGCUACGAUCCCGACGAGACACAAAGCCAGGAUGACCGAGGGUUGUUCACGCCGUCGACCUUUGAUCAAUCUGGCAUGCAAGACGCCUUCAUGCGAGAUCAGGACUACGGCCUCGAGGAAGAGGAUGAGUUGGACAUCGACGGGGAGCCUUUGUUCGAGGACGAGCUCGCCAACCAAGCCGCCGGGGUGAAGCCGAAGCGCAAGAGCAGGUGGACAAAGUCAUACACGACGGCCGAGGACAAGCUUCUUUGUGAGUGUUGGAGGGACAUUGGGCAAGACCCCAAGACCGGCGCAGAACAAAAGGCAUCAACCUUUUGGACUCGUGUCCAUCGCUAGUUCCAUGAACGCAAGAAGUUUCCGCCGUACCAAAUGCAAAGCACGCGCGGGCAUUCCAAACUUUGGAGGCAUUCAAGGUGCAACAUGAAGGCAAGUCCUUCCACCUCUCCCAUUGUUGGAGGGUCAUCAAAGACGAGGAGAAGUUCAAGGCGCAAUUUGCUGCCAUCAUGGCGCGUGGGUGGAAGAAAGCCGAGGAGGAGGUUGGGGAGGGCGAGAAGGCACGACCGCGGGGAAAGACAAACACCAAGAAGGAGGACAAGCGGGAUGCGGCGUCGAUCGCCUUGAUCACAAGCGUGGAGGACAUGAUGACCAAGAAAGACUCAAGGGAGGAGAAGCGCCGGAAAGACAAGGAAGAGCAAAUGAACGCCUUCAUGGAGAUCCAAAGGAGGAGGCUUGAGAUGGAGCCGGAGAAGCAAACGAGGAUGCUUGAGAUGGAGGCGGAGAAGCAAGCCAAGAUGUUAGAGAUCGAGGCCGCCAAUGCCAAGACCAAGGCGAAAGAAGCGUUGGGUGCACUGCCGAUCCAAAAGAAAAACAGGACGGACGCCGAGCGGGCGGCCGACCCAAAUGGACAAAAAGCGGACAAAAGCAUCGUCCAUUCGGGUCGGCGCGUUGGAGUUGCUCUAAUGGUUUUUCUCAUUCAUUGCAUGUAUUACCGCAGAAAAAGGAAGUGUUCCGACCCCAUCAAUAAUCUUUCACUUACUGGAAAUAGGGUUCACAGUUGGGGAUGUGGCAGUGUUACCGAGGAGUGGGACCGCUUGUAUGCUCAGAAGGUCCAAUUGUUGACUUUCCUUUCGACUCUGCCCGAGCCUGCUCUGAGCUAUGGGCCGAGUGCUGAAACUAAUAUGGCCAAUUCUAUCGAGCAAAGAGAAGAGAAAAAGAGUGUAAUAGUUCUUGAUUCGGAUGAUGAAGAUGAAAGCACAGAAGCACACAAACAUCUGACGCCUGAGAAAAACAAACAGCUCACACCUGAGAAAAAUAAACAUCUGAUACCAUCAGAACAGGCUGGUGCUCUCAUGAGGGUGGUAACAGAAGGAAUUGAUGAAGUAAUAAAUGAGACAAUGCCUGUUAGAGACCAAAACAGUCAAAUUGUUCCAUACAGUCCAAGUGCAACUUUAGUGAAUCAGUAUCCUGUUACCAGCUAUCAACCAUCAGCAGUUCUGUUUGAGAGAGUUAUAUUGCAGAAAAGACCUGAGGAGGAACGUAUCCAUGAUCUGGCUGUUGCUACCCAUAAGGAGAAAAUAGCAGAAACACAAGUUCUCCCUCCACUUCCUAAGGAGAGAAAAAAACGAAAAGUUGAUCCAAGCUCCCAGGUAGAUGGGGAUGUUGAAAUUGUGCCAAGAAAAAGAAAAGGAAAAAAUGAAGCAAAUCCAGCAGUAUUUGAUUUGCCCUCAGAACGUUACAAUCCUGCGGGGGAAGACGAGCCUGUGGAGGAAGAUGAGCCUAUGGGGGAAGAUGAGCCUAUGGAGGAAGAGCAUAUACAAGAACAGGAAAGUGAUGGCCUUGAAGAUUUUUGGAAUGAGUACUCAGUGGCACUUGAAAGCUCUAAGCUCGACACACUUGAAGAGGCAGCCAAUGAGAAAGAAGUGGGUGAGAAAGAGGUGGACAACGCUUGCAAUCAUGAUAUACAGAUUCAUGAAGAUCUGGGCCAUGUAUGCCGUGUCUGCGGUUUGAUUGUGAAAAGGGCUGACACUAUCAUUGAUUAUCAGUGGAGAAAGGCAUCAAGGUCAAGAUCAUAUUUCUCUGAAAAGCGUUCAAAGGAUUCUGACGAGAUUGUCACUGGUGAUGUUAGAGUCGCUGAGGAACUCAAUGCUUUAGACAUUGCUAUUCAUCCAAGACAUGAAAAGCAAAUGAGACCACAUCAGUUGGCAGGUUUCCACUUUCUGGUCAAGAAUUUGGUCUCUGACAAACCAGGAGGUUGCAUUCUAGCUCAUGCGCCUGGUUCGGGGAAAACAUUUAUGCUCAUCAGUUUUAUUCAGAGCUUCUUGGCAAAAUAUCCCUCUGGAAGGCCUCUCGUUGUACUCCCUAAAGGUAUAUUAGGUACUUGGAAAAGGGAAUUUCAACAGUGGCAAGUGGAGGACAUACCACUGUAUGAUUUGUAUUCUGUCAAGACCAGAGCAGAGCAGUUGGAAAUCCUCAAGUCUUGGGAAGCCAAAAGGAGUAUCCUCUUGGUGGGCUACACUCAGUUCUCUUGGAUCAUUAGCAGUGACGAGGGUGGCGCCGUUGCAGCUGGAUGCCAGGAGAGGUUGCUUAAGGUCCCGAACCUACUUAUAAUGGAUGAGGGCCAUUUACCUAGGACUGAGUCAACUAAUGUGCUAGAAUCACUGCAGAGAGUACAAACUCCACGCAAGGUUGUCCUAUCUGGUACACUUUUCCAGAAUCAUGUCUCAGAAGUGUUCAACAUCAUGAACCUUGUACGCCCAAAGUUUCUCAAGAAGGAUUCAUCUCGUCCUAUCGUUGCUCGUAUAAUGAGUCAAGUGUCAAUAUCAGGUCGCAGGAUUUCAAAAGAAGACACUGAUAAAUUCAAUGAGUCGGUAGAAGAGACCCUGCUGCAUGAUGGUGACAUCACGAGAAAAGUAAACGUCAUUAGAAGUCUCAGAGAACUAACAAAAGACGUGCUUCACUACUACAAGGGUGAUAUCUUGGAUGACCUACCUGGCCUUGUAGACUUCAGUGUCUUCUUGAAACUCAGUCCCAAGCAGAAAGAAAUCGUUCACAAGUUGGAAGCCUACGAGAAGUUCAAAAAAAAUGCAGUAGGAACUGCCCUGUACAUGCAUCCAUGUCUAUCUGAAAUGUCAGAAGUCGCAGCGGCAGACAGGGCUUCCAACUUGACGGAUGCAGCUGUUGAUAGUCUGGUCCAGUCUAUCAAUGUGGCCGACGGUGUGAAGGCCAGAUUUUUCACCAAUAUCCUGGCACUUGCGGAAUCUGCAGGAGAGAAGGUCCUUGCUUUCAGUCAGUACCUACUUCCCAUGAAAUUUUUGGAAAGGCUACUGGUUAAGACAAGGGGCUGGCAUGUAGGAAAGGAGAUGUUUGUGAUCCGUGGUGAUAGUAAAUGUACUAUGGAAGAAAGAGAACUGACAGUGGCUCAGUUUAACAACUCUGCUGAUGCAAAAGUCCUGUUUGGCUCUAUCAAGGCAUGUGGGGAGGGCAUCUCCCUGGUGGGCGCAUCGAGAGUGGUCAUUCUAGAUGUUCACUUGAACCCCUCCGUUACCCGUCAGGCAAUCGGGCGGGCGUUCAGGCCUGGACAGCAGAAGAAAGUGUUUGUCUACAGGCUCGUAGCAGCUGACUCUCCGGAGGAGAACACCCAUAAAACUGCGGUCAAGAAGGAGGUGAUACCGAAGCUGUGGUUUGAAUGGAGCGAGCAGCGCUGCACGUCGGAGGGCUUCCAGCUGAACGAAAUCGACAUCGACGACUGUGGGGACGAGCUGCUGGACAACAGGGCAAUGCGCCAGGACAUCAAGGCCUUGUACACAAGGUGAAGGCAGGCUGGCUGUUGUACAUACACCGUGUACAUAUGGCUUGCCGAUCGUUGGAGAUUGUCAUUGCUCUCAGGGUGUUACAGUUGCUGCUCCGUUGUGGUGGAACUCCAAGCAAGGGUUUUCUGUUGUUGGUGCCGUCUUCCUGCAUAUGUCUGUUGGGUGACCUACCUACCUACCUGUUUUGUAGUAUGUGCCGACUUCGGACAGCAAUUAGCCAGGGAACCGAUCCUCGUCGCAUCUCUUGAUCAGGACUCCCAGGAUUAAGCGGAUACGCGUUUUUUUGCUACCUUGUCGUGACCGAAUAAUGUUGUUGUGUUGGAUGCCAAACCUCGGGCUGCACGGCACCUCCCACCGUCGUCGGUAGGGUGAUAAGUGUUUUCUGUGCGCAGGAAAUGCAGGUACUCUCUGUUAUGAGGGGAGGAAAACUGAAAUAACCCCUGCAAGUCACAAAUUGGAACUCGGUGUCGUGCUGAGAGAUGUACAGAUUGUUUGGUGUCUUAAAUUCUGUGUCGUCCAGUGUUCAUCCAUC